rfam:Hydatigera taeniaeformis genome assembly, scaffold: TTAC_contig0006763
UCCAGAUACGGUGAUAUGGUGCCCUCGACGAUAAUGGGGAAAGUAGUGGGAGGAAUCUGCUCUCUCUCGGGGGUCCUCGUCAUCGCACUUCCCGUUCCAGUCAUCGUCUCCAAC